CUUCAAAAUCCAGUUAUCCAGAAUGCAAUCCCUAUAAACUUCUGGGAACUAUGGAUUUCAGGAAAGUCAGACCAAUAUUACACAAGCAUAUUGAACUUUAUGGAACUGGCUCAUUUGCCUGGCAUCCCUGGAAGUCUCUGCCUUAUGUCACUUCCUAAGUGCACAUACCAGCUGAUUGAAUCCUUUAUUAAAUUAGAUACUGAAUAAGAAAAG